AAAAAAAAAUCUUAGUUUGAUCUUCUUUUCUACAUAGAAAACUUACAACAGAAAAUUACCUGUGAUGCCACUUUUCAUGAAAAACCAAUAGAAGUGAACGACUGAUUGUUGUGGACCAAGAAGUAUAGGUAAGAAAAUACCUCGCUUUCUUUAUAGCUUUCUCAGACUACUGCUAUUAUUAUUCUACCUCUAAGGCCAGCCUCCCAGUAGUGUUCUCAUCUAUCAGAACUUUUUUAACCAAUUAACCUUUCUAUUUAGCAGGAAAAAAAUAUAUGAAACAUUUAAACAGAUACGACUUUAAAAGAUAUUGUAUAAAUUUAAUAUAGCUUAUUUGUCAUGAAGUCCAUAAAACACUCUUCAACCUUUAUAUGUUUAUAAUAUAAAAUCAAUGUGAAAGAACAAGUAUUUUAUUAGAAAGGUAACAAUAAAACCAAAUUAUAAAAAGAAGACACUAAAUAACUAUCUAGUACUAAGUAUUUGGCUAGGCUAAUUUCCUGCAGAAAAUGAAUAUCUACUAUGUGUACCUACCUCAACCCCAUCCACUCAGCAAUAUCUGUGAAUUGACUGGGAAGACAUAUUAAACUGCGCUGCAGAAUAUGUAAGAAGCAGAGUCAAAGUAUUAGUUUGUUCAGAGUUAAACAUACAUAUAAAAGGACAGGGUUCAUUUAGCAUUAACUGUGAAUCUCUGAGAGUAUCUAAUUUAUUGUUUUUAUUAAUAAAUAUCAUGUCCAGUAUGAGGGUUAGGGGCAAGAGAGAAGGAAUUUAAAUACUUAGAACAUUUUAGAGAACGUUCCAAGAGAAACCAAAUACCUCAGACUAUUUAGAGACAGAAGUAUUUUGCAGUGAAUGUGCUAUGAAAGAAUUUAUUAAAGUAAUUACCUUUACUAUUCACUGAUUUCCAUAGCAACGGCACAAAUUUUGAUUUCCUUGAAUUGAUAUUUAAGACUGUUUUGAGGAGUAAAUUAUUUCUCUGGUUUACUCAUUCCUUUAAUGCCCUCACCAACCUUCACCCACUAUAGUGGAAAAAAAAAUAGGACCACAAACUUGGUAAAGUUGGCUACAAAUAACUGAUUUUUCCUUAGUACUAUUCUAUGACCUGUGUUAAUUUGUUUUCAAACCAAAAAACAGUGUUCUAUGGAAGAUUUCAGAUAAUUUCUACAAACUCAAGUUCAUGGUUUUACAUAUAGAUAUGAUAUGUGAUAAGGUAAACACAGAAGUCAUAGAGGAAAUUCAAGUGAUUUCAGAUGCUCCUCAUAGGCAUGCUUCCCCCAGUCUCAUCAUGCACACUUGAAGCCACCCUUUUCCAGAUCAACUGCCUGUGAAAGAUUUUCAGAACUCUGAGCCAUUACUAAAUGGCCAUGGAAAGAAAUUAAGCAAAGAAAAAUUGGACAGACUUUCAGGAAAAGUUUCCUAAUUGUGAAAACUAUUAAAAUGUGGAAUAAAUAUCCUCUGAGGGAGAGGAUAGAUGCCCAUCUCUGAGGCUUUAAAAACAGGAUUUGACCAACACUUUGGGAAGAGAAAUGAGGGCAAUAUUCAUUACUUGGCAAGGAAGUGAGCUGGAUGACAUAAUGGUCUUUUCCCUCUUUCAUGCUAAUGCCUCUUUAAUGUUUCCAUUUAAGUAGUAACUUAGUUUCAAAAGCGGACAUUUUAAUGUGGGAAGAGUACUCAGGUUUCAAUGAAAACCUCACCAGAAAAAAUCAGGAAUGAAGGCCACCAUUGACCCUGUACGUGGAUUACUUUUGUAUUUGACCACGUAAGACAAUUGGAUGGGCACCUAAUAUAUUUCCUGGUACACUCCUAUUGUGGUUGGUCUUCUUUAUCUGUAUGUCUAUCUUGUUCAGUCUGCGCUUCAGCUUUGCAGGAAAAUAGAAAUUUUUUUUUCUGUGCUUGUUUAUGCUAACCAUGGUGCCUACAACUGCAUCUGCUGCCUUUACACGGGACUGCAAACCUGUUUUUUUCAACCUUCUGUUUUAUGGGUGUGCACACCCAUAAAUCUCCUGUGGCUGGGUUAAGGGAACAUACAAGCAGCUCUUCAGCAUUAAGAAUGUGAUGGGAGAGAUUCAGGUAGAUUUGAACUGCCAUCAUCAAUCAAGACCAAGGAGAAGGCUGCUUUCCAGGAUGUACACAUGGCCUCUGUUUGCUGUUGCUGUUUUGCUUCUUUUAAGAGGUGAACCAAUAUAUGUAUGUCUGUUUCUACUGUCACUUGCAGCUCAACAGAACCCUGUAAUAUACAUGAACAAGUUUCUGGAAGUUAAGAGAGAUGAGAAGUUCACCAAGUCACCAACCUGACUGUUACCAUGAGGAAUUCCUUUACCGGAGAACAUGCUGUCACAAUAGGUUAAAUAUAUGUUAUACAGGUCCAAAGAAUAUUCAUGUUCAAUCUUAGUUAAAAAUAAAUAUUUAUAGUUAGUUAAAUUAGGUAUAGCUUUUAUUUCCCACAUUAUAAUUACCUGUAUUUUUUAUACUUCAUGUAACAUCACCAAAAAUUUUAGUAUUAGAUAAAUCAAAAAAGUUAUUUGUACAAGCUUAUAUAA
rnacentral:lncRNA from 1 species